rnacentral:rRNA from 1 species
GACGAACGCUGGCGGCGUGCCUAAUACAUGCAAGUAGAACGCACAGUUUAUACCGUAGCUUGCUCCACCAUAAACUGUGAGUUGCGAACGGGUGAGUAACGCGUAGGUAACCUGCCUGGUAGCGGGGGAUAACUAUUGGAAACGAUAGCUAAUACCGCAUAAUAUUGAUUAUUGCAUGAUAAUUGAUUGAAAGAUGCUAUUGCAUCACUACCAGAUGGACCUGCGUUGUAUUAGCUAGUAGGUGAGGUAACGGCUCACCUAGGCGACGAUACAUAGCCGACCUGAGAGGGUGAUCGGCCACACUGGGACUGAGACACGGCCCAGACUCCUACGGGAGGCAGCAGUAGGGAAUCCUCGGCAAUGGACGAAAGUCUGACCGAGCAACGCCGCGUGAGUGAAGAAGGUUUUCGGAUCGUAAAGCUCUGUUGUAAGAGAAGAACGGGUGUGAGAGUGGAAAGUUCACACUGUGACGGUAUCUUACCAGAAAGGGACGGCUAACUACGUG